CAGUAGCCGCGGGAAUACGUAGGGUGCAAGCGUUAAUCGGAAUUACUGGGCGUAAAGCGUGCGCAGGCGGUUAUAUAAGACAGAUGUGAAAUCCCCGGGCUCAACCUGGGAACUGCAUUUGUGACUGUAUAGCUAGAGUACGGCAGAGGGGGAUGGAAUUCCGCGUGUAGCAGUGUAAUGCGUAGAUAUGCGGAGGAACACCGAUGGCGAAGGCAAUCCCCUGGGCCUGUACUGACGCUCAUGCACGAAAGCGUGGGGAGCAAACAGGAUUAGAUACCCCUGUAGUCCCUGUCUCUUAUAC
rnacentral:rRNA from 1 species